AUGCCGGCCAGCAGCCACCCGUCGUCGCAGGCGUCCCCGCUGGAGGACGGCAACCUGCUACGCGAGAUCCUGCUCCGGCUUCCCCCCGAUCCCUCCUCGCUCCCGCGCGCAUCCCUCGCUUGCACGCGCUGGCGCGACCACGUCGCCGACCCAGGAUUCCGCCGCCGCUUCCGCCUCCACCACCGCCGCAACCCUCCUCUCCUCGGCUUCUUCGACGGGUGCGGAAGCCUGGACUUCCUGCCGACGCUGGACGCCCCCGAUCGCGUCGCGCCCGAGCGCUUCUCCUUGAAGCGCGACGAGGGCGACGGCGUUCGCAGGCCGCUCGGAUGCCGCCACGGACUGAUGCUCCUCUUAGUCCCGAAGCCUCUCCGGGUAAUCGUGUGGGACCCCGUCACCGGCGACCAGCACCGCCUCGAUGUUCCGCCAGGGCUCACGACGAAUGAGUGCUAUGAGAGCGUGAUCAACGGGGCGGUGCUCCGCGCUGCCGCCGGAGACGCCGAGCACUUCAAGGUGGUCAUGGUGGCGGCAGACGGCGACGGGGUAGAAAACCGACGAGCAGUCGCCUGCGUCUACUCGUCGGAGACCGGCGCAUGGGGAGGGUUCAUCACAGCACCCAUUCCAUACGAUGCUGAUGCUCAUGCGAGCGGUUUAUUUUGGAGGUUUUCCACCAGCAUUUACAUUGAUCAUGCUGUGUUGGCUGGAGACUCCCUUUACUGGCAGCUUAUUGGGAAUUUCGAAGGAGAGGCAGAGCCUGUCUGUAAUGCCGGUGCCGGUGCCUAUCUAUAG
rnacentral:rRNA from 1 species